GGCCAGUUGGUGUAAUGGUCAGCACGUCGGAUUCUGACGAGUAGCGACUUCCGGAGAUGCUGGCUCGAUUCCUGCACAGGCCU
rnacentral:tRNA from 2 species